ACCAGUUUCACCAUAGUAGACAGAAAAAAACCAACCAUAGAGCCCACCUUUGGAGGCAGAGCGCAGCUUCAAGCAUGAAGACUGGAGAAGGGGAGAAGGAACAGGAGGCAGAGGAAGGAUAAACAGUUCAUAGUUUGAGAAUAUUUUAAGGCACCGAAGAUCCCCUACUCAGAGUCACACCACCAUCUGAUUUCCUGACAUGUACACCUCUAACAAAAAUGGAACAGCUCCGACCAUCUGACUUACCCAUUCACCAGCCACAAGACCCAAUCCUUCAGAGUUCGCUCUUAAAGGGAAGGAAAGAGGAAAGGCUUCAGGCUGCAGCUGGAUCCAAAGAUAAGCAUCCAGCAAGCCUCCAAGUAAGAGAGAAAGGAGACUGAGUCCUACUGCUAAAUAAAAUACACCUUUACCCCCCCGAGUGUUUUGUUCCUUAGACAAAAGACACUAAUUUCUGCUAUGCAAGCCAAGCAGGCAGGCCUUUUCCUUUCGUAGGAACUGCUAUCAGUCACCCCCAGGGCCCAGAACUCCCCCCCAGCACUGGUGCCCUUUGCUCCAUUAGCUGUUGCUGGCUUUCAUGCAUCAAGUAUGGACUUCCUGUUUCCCCUUUUUGAGCCCUGGAGACUUGGAACUGGUAUGAGGCUUUGAAAAAAAUAAAAACAAAGCCAGGAAAACACAAAAGGUAGACAGUCAUGCUGUUCAGAAUCUUAACAGCUGUAAAACGUCUCAGAUUUUCCUGUGUCUACCUCUCACAUGAAGCAGUGUUCUGAAGUGAGUCCUGUGGAACUUUGAGUCAAUGGAGCUGACAGCAGUUAAAACUAAGGCUCAGAAGAUGGCUGUGGUGGCUCCUACCUUCAAACCCAACAGUAAGAAGGUGGGGCAGGAGGAUUGCUAGCUUGCGACCUACAUGGGCUACUCUAAAAUUUUAGUAUCUCUUUCCCCAUCCUAUACAGAGGCUAAGGGUAAAGUGAUGCCUUUGUGUGCCAUUCUAUAUGCUUUAGAUCUAAUUGGGUUUUGUUGAUGAUAUUGUUUUGUUUUGUUUUGAGACAGGGUUUCUUCGAGACAGCUUUGGCUGCCCUGGAACUCACUUUGGACCAGCAUGGACUUGGAUUCACAGAGGCCUGCCUACUAAGUGCUGGGAUUUAAGUUGUCCACCACCACUACCUGGCUAGAUCUAAUUUCUGUUUCUAUAAUUUUAUCAGUGUACAUUUGUUGUUAAAAUAACAGGUUUCAUUAGGGCAUUUUGCACAGGGACAGCAGCAGCCUGAGCAUACGGACCUCGACUCCUGCGCUCCACCCACCCACUGCUCCUUCCCUCUCCUACUUUCCCAUCCUUUUUGCUUCACUGUUUUCCAUGGUCCAAAUGAGAUGAUGAUGAUGAUGAUGAUGAUGAUGAUGAUGAUGAUGAUGAUGAUUUCUCCAGAGCAAGGCUGUCCUGAAACUAUGUAAACAAGGCUAGCCUUGAACUCAGAGAUCCUCCUGCCUCUGUUUUCCAAAUGCUGAAAUUAGUGUGCCACCAGUGUAGUUUCACUUUUUUUAAAUGGCUGAAUAAAAGGCCAAUGGCGUUUAGCUUAUCCACUAAUAGAUGCGCUGUGUGUUCACUGCUGUGAAUGGUGCUGAAAGACACGGUGUACCCAGGUAUAUCUAGCAUGCACUUAGAUCCCUUCGGGUAUCUCCUGAGAGGCAAGCUUAAGUCAUAUUGUAGUUACCUUCUUAGUUGUUUGAUGCCCUGAGCCCCAUAGUGACUAAACUAAUUCACAUUCCCCAGGGGCGGAUCACACACUCUUUCCUCCCAGCAUUUAUUUGUUUGGUGGUACCAAGAAUGCACCCAGGGCCUUGUUCCAUGUGGAGUAAAUACUGCAUCAAGGAGCUUGUUUUUCUUUUCUUGAUGAUGGGAUCUCAAAGGAGUUUUGAUUUGCAUUUCUCUGGUACUUAAAGAACGGUACUAGUACUCCUUUUGAGAACUGUCCAUUGGAUUCCUUUGCUUAUUUUUUAUAGGAUUAUUUUUAAUGAUUUUACAUAUUCUGGAUAUUGAUCUCUUGUUGGAGCAUCAACAACUAGCAGAUUUUCUCCCAUUCUGUAAGCUGUUGUUUGACACGGGGUUUCUCUGUAUAGUCCUAGCUAUGCUGGAACUUGCUCUGUAGAACAGGCUGGCCUGGUAAUCCCUUCCUUUCUAUGCAGAAGCAUUUUAAUGUAACAAAACCCCACUUUCUUAAUCUUUAUUUUAUGUGCAUUAGAAUUUUUGCCUGUAUGAGGGUGUUGGAUGUCCUGGAACUGGAGUUACAGAGACCUGUGAGCUGCCAUGUGGGUGCUAGGAAUUGAACAUAGGCCCUCUGUUAGAACAAACUGUGCUGGUAAUCACAGAGCCAGUUCUCCAGCCCUCACAACCCCAAUUUGAACCAAGUGUUAAGGGUAAAGGACAGCUCUACAAAUUCACUCUCUGAAUGACAGUGCUCUGACCUUGAAACUUUCCAGUCUGGACAUAGACCCAGACACUGAAGCCCACUUGUGAUCCACAGGGGGGCAUCGUUAGGUCAGCUGCCAGCUCAGAACCCAAGACCUGAUAGUCGGCCUCUGUGGCUUCCGGUGCUCUGACCUCUGGCCUGGCUCAUGAUCCUUUUACACGGUAAUGGGAUAUGAACUGAUUGAAAAUGUCGAGGCUCCAAUCUCAUUGUUCAUGCUGCGGCAACCAUUCACUAACUCAGGCUUCUCUGCUCUGUUCUGCUGUCCUGCAUUUUGAAUUCAGAGCUUGGUGUCAGCAAGGAAAGCACCAGAGUUGUCAUGCGGCAGCCUUUGGCUGUGUUCUACCGAGAGAUGUAUCAUCUACAACCUACUCACAUCCUCCCCCAACAGCUACCAAAAUUCCCCUGGUGAGAAAUGCUAUUAUAAGAAGGGGUGGCUGCUUUGUGACUCACACUGUUUCAUUAAAAAGAUUUUUUUUCCCAAACAAAUUUUCAGUAAAGAAAUCCAAAGGUUUUCCAAAGCCACAGCAAAAUAGAACAGCUCAUGAUAGUACUUUUCAUAGGUCUGCCACUUUACUGGAGGCUCCUACACCCAAACACGGAAGGCAUGAUAUCUGCUUAUUAGCCUUGUGUUGCAUUUGGCCUUUAGAGAAGAGGUAGGAAACUGAUUGAUUAAACCCAGCUAAUACAUAAUAGAACUGGGUUUGUCAGAUAUUAAGGUAGAAAGCCCCUAGCUUGCAAGCCAGCACUCACCACAGCUCUCACAACCUCUCCAGGGCAUCUGCUACACUGGUAUAGAUGCUUCAGCCACAUCUGACCAGCAUUGGUAAACCAAUAACCGAUGGCUUGCAUGGCUGCUGGGGUGGUUGUUCUGGUGGUAUUUGGUAUUUUGGAAAGCUUCCUAUCUAUCCCAGUGUUAUAUCUUUGAGAGUGUAAAUAAAAGAAUAAGCAAUAUUUCACAAAACUAAUUUGUUAGUAUGGAAUGCCACGGGCUCCUUUAAAUUCCUGUAGACUUUCCAGUCCUUAGGGGAGAAUCAGGGUAAAAGAAUCCUAGCCAGGCCUGCUCUACAGGAAAAGGCUAGUGGGAUGGGAACAUCAAAAAUGUCUCUAAUAGCUCAGAAAUGUGAGCAAAAUGACCACAGGCUUGAGGUCUGGGGACUUUCUAGCUCUGUCCCACACUGUCUGAGUAACUCUGUUUCUCCCACAUGCUAAGAGACCUCUUUUGACCUUAAAGAAAUAGUGUAUAGCACACAGUAUGGAAGUGAGUAAUUUGGAAUAGCUAUUUGUGAAGUAUGAUUUAAUCAUAUUUAUAGAGAGAUGGGUACUAGACACAAGAAGUCUGGGGCCAUAUUAUCUCAUUUAUCAAGACCAAGACACACACACACAGGUACACAUGCAUCCACACAUGAUGACAAUUCACCAAAAGUCACUUUAUCUAACAGUCACUUUCAACAUGGACCUUUGAAAUUCUUCAUUCUGAACAAAAAGUGCUCCCAUGUAACACAUGCUUAUUAGUAACAUAUUACUGGUGUUGGUUAUCAUACAAGGCUUUAAUAAAUUACUGAAAGCAUCAUUAAAAGCAAGAAUUUUAAAAAAAACUGAUUCAAAAAGAGAGUCUGGAGAGAUGGCUCAGUGGUUAAGAGAACUUGCUGCUCUUCCAGAGGACCCAGGUUCAAUUCCCAGCACCCACUUUUAGACCGUUCACAACCUUCUAUAACUCCACUUUUUGGAGCCUAGACUUCUAUCCGACAAGGGCAACAAGCACAAACGUGGUGCACAGAUAUAUGUGUAGGCAAAACACACAUGCAUACACGUGAAGUAAAGAGAAACGUGUUAAACAGGCAAAUGGCCUGAAUAUGUAUUAUUUCUUCAAAGAUACAUGAAUGGCUAGGAAAAAACAAAAUCAUAUUUAUCAAUCACAGUGACAGAAAUGUAAAAACAUCUCACCCAUGAGGUUAGCUAUUAUCUGUCUGGUCCCCCAAGGUUGAAGGCCCCCAUUUUCUUGGGGCCUUACAGAAAGUUCCUGCUUGCAAAGGUUGGCGUUUUCCUUAUCUCUGGCAAGAGAAACUUGUGGCUCUGCAGCAACAUACCGGGACCUAUAAACUUGUCAGGGUCAGUGUUAGCCUCCAGGCUCCCUCAGUCCCUGCUCACUACCCCCUCUCCUCUCCUUCCCAUUUAACCCUGCAGAUCUUCCCCUGGAUGCUUUCUCCUUGCUUUCCCAGACAGCCUUGGCAGUUAAGAAGGAACUUUUUUGCCUUUUCACCCAUGGAACAGCUAUUUUGUUUCUUUACUGCUCCCAUUUUCAUUCACUAUUAAAAAAUAAAAUAAAAUAAAAAGUCAGAUAUGGUGACUCUGAACCUAUAACUCAAGAGGCACUCAAGAGGCGGAGGCAGGCGGAUCUCUGAAUUUAACCCAGCAGGGUCUACACAGCUCUAUCUGGAAUUCCAGAUAGAACAGCCCAGCAAUAGAGCAAGACCUGAGAGAAAGUGGGAAACGGAAGUUCUGAAACAGAGGAUCUGGAGUCAGCUCUACAUGGUAGUGUUUGUCUUCAGUGUAUGAAGCCAAGUUCAGUCACUGGCACUGAACAAACUGGGCAAGCAAUUCUAGCACUCGGGUGGAGGCAGGAGAUCAGAUGUUCAAGUUUAUCCUCAGCACACAGUAAGUUUGUCAGCUUGGACUAUAUGUUAACAACAACCCAAAACCCCAGGCUGAGUGGAAAACAGCGGAGGGGCUGUCUCCUAUUUCCACGCCAAAACAACAAGAAAUACCACCCGGCCACUUUACUCAUAGGUAUAUAUGAAAAUCGAGGGAAUAUGGCUCAGUGGGAGAGCCUAGAAACACAUCGCUAGAGACGCUAGAGAGGUGGUGGUGGUGUAAAAAAGUCUCAGAGUAUUUGUGCAUUCACAGCAGUAUUAUCCACAACAUGGAAACAAUCCAUGUGCCUGUGACAGAUGCAUGGAGAAGCAAGUACAGUCUAUUGUACUCUAAUACACAUCGUGUGGUACAUGUUCAACCCUAAAAGGGAAGAAAAUUCUGACUGGAGAUGCAACCAGAGGGAUGAAGGUGAAGGGCAUGCAUUCCACUCAGUGAAGUAGGUCACAAGGUAAAUACUUUACCCAUUACUCACAUUCAGUUCUUACUGCCCCCUCAAUUUUACACUUAAAAAUGGUGACGAUGGGAAAUUUGGUUACAUGUAUGGGGUACAGGGUACUAAAGUACCGAAUCCUAUACUUACCAGACCAAGGCUAUUUUACAGCUUGGGAUAAAGUUUACAAAGACAGGUUUAAAAAGUGGUGAAUCUUGCUUCAUAUGAAAAACACCAGAAAGAAAAGUGGCUUGAGGGACAACAAAGAUACAUAAAGUCCAAAAGUAAACAAGACACCACUGAGAAGACAGAGGGCCCCCUUAUACUGGGUCACACGAGACAUUUCUUAGUCUGUUAGAAGCACGAAGAUGACCUCCCCAGACCAGAAAUAGGGUUGGGGGAAAAUGAACAGUCACUGAAGAGUUCAGAAGAAACACCGUAGCGCAGCCUCGGUAUGUGUGCACCAUAGAACUGAUGAAGAGGGGAAACGCUAAUGCUACCAGAACACUCUUAAAAAGGAAGAAAGUGAGCUGGAGACAUGGCUCAGCGGGUAAAAGCAUUCAUUGGCUGCUCUUCCAGUGGUCCAGAGUGCAAUUCCCAGCAACCACAUGGUGGUUCAUAACUAUCUAUAAUAAGAUCUGAUGCCCUCUUCUGGCACGCAGGUGUACAUUCAGAUAGAGUACAUGUACAUUCAUAAAACAAAUACAUCAUUAAAAAUACUUUAACAAAAGAAAGCAAAGAUCCUUGAAAGAACGCUAGUCCUCUUCAUGAUAAGUACACAUGCCCAGCACCUACACUGGGUCCUGGCACCCACGCACACUCAGUCUUAGCGAAGAUAGUUUCUACGCAGGCAGGAAAGUUUCCUGUUUUGAGAUAGGGAGGAAAAUGGGGAACCUCGUAAUGUAUCCACUUCAGAGUCAUGACUCGUCCUAGAUAUCUAGGUCUCUAGCUACUGGGCUGGGCCUGUGUGUGAGAGAUCAUAACCCAGUGCCCUUCAGUGGUAAUGACUUCCAGAGAAAGCUGGGCCUCCUGAAAAAUCAGGGGGAAGACAUCCACAGAAAGGGCCAUUGCUUCCAUUUCUGUCUGUCUGUUCUGAGCCACUCGUUCACAAGACCAUGGCAGACUGGCUCAGGCCUUUAUGUAGGGAACAAAUGCUUUCCAUAUGAAAGACAAAACAAAACAAAAAAACCUAUGAAGAAUGCUCUUGCUGGGGAAAGACACUUGUAUGGAUCCUGUCUAGAAAAUACCCAGCUAGUAUCAAAAACAAUGGGUGUACCAAAACAAACAAAAACCCACUGAGUUCUUUCUGUCUCAGAAGAAAAAAACCGAAAUCCAUGACAAGCUGAGCUUCAAAUGUAAGUGUUCUAACCAUACUCUCAGGAUCUCUGUUAAACUCAGGCCCUGCGGUCUCUCCUCGGCUCUACUGAAUUCAGGGAGUAGGCUCCAGUCAGUCAUCAGCACUGUUAUGAGGCUCCAUAGAAAGUCCAGGCAGGCGAGUAAGGAUCCUCUGGAACCCUCACUGACAGGAGGCUCUUCUUUGUGUGUUUUGUUUUUGUUGUCCACGUAUGCACUGUAAAUCCUUAUCUCCCCUAACUCUGAGUUACAGAAAUAGUGAUUCUGCGACUCCCCCUUCAGCUUGCCACCCAAGACUAACAAAGACAAAGACACAGCAGGAUAAACUGCCCCAUCACUCCAGAGACCACCCUGCUGUUGAUUUAAGAUGAAACUUGGGUCCUUAUUAAUCUCCCACUUGACCAAAUAGCACAUCCGAGACAGGACACGAACCUGGUUCUUCCUUUCUCUACCUUUGGUUUUCAAGACAAAAGUUUCUUUGUGCAGCUCUGGUUGUCUGGGACCUCACUUUGUGGACCAGGCUGGCUAUGACUUCAGAGAUCUGCCUGCCUCUGCUUCCCAUGCUGCCACGCCCACCCAGUGAGAAGCCUUGUGCCUAUGAACAGAGAAGAUGAGAAGGACAGGUCUCUGAGAAGCUCCUUUUAGUACUUAAGCCUAUAAUGUUAAGAUGCUAAGAACCAUUUGACUUAGAUUGGGCCACAACACAGCUUAGGAAAAAAAAUGAAUAAAAAUCUACACUCAUCUCUUAUUCUAGAGAUGGAGGCCCGUGCUGCCUGGAGUCUGCACUCCACAACCUCAGAGGCCUGCUAUAUUCACCUAGCUUAAGGUGUAAUAUGAGCAGGACAAUGUCCCUCUUAGGGCAACACUAAUUCCCUGUGAUGUUUUUUUUCUGCCAAAUUUGAAAGUAUCAGGUUUUUAUUUGUGUGUGUGUGUGUAUGCAUGUAUGUGUGCACAUAUGUAUGUGGGCAUGUGGAGGCCAGAGGACAACUUGGGGGAGUUGGUCCUGGGGACUGGACUCAACUCAUCAAGCUUGGAGGUCGGUUCCCUUAUCUGCUGAGCCACACUGCUGGCUAUAAUUGAGUAUUUUAAAUGAGUUCAGUGCCCACUGAGCUUGGGUGGAAUAUUAUCGUGGUUGUAAAACAUGUGGUGUGUUCCUUCAAGAAUGGAGCUACUGCUCUCUUUGGUUAAGGUGGCCUGGCUUACAGCAUUCCUUGUGACAAGGCUGGAGAUGAGUUUCUGUUUAAUAUACACAUCCGUAAAGCAGCCAUGUUAGCAAUUUAGCCCCUGCUGCUUGCAAGGCCUUUCAGACCUCAGGGAAUAGUUAACUAUGACCCUUAGAAGAUCAUCUUCGCCUGAAGGAAGCAUGGAGAAGCAGUCCUUGUGGCAACAGAAAACUAAAAAUCCUACAUUAAAAACAUAGUCUAUGGGGUUGGGGAUUUAGCUCAGUGGUAGAGCGCUUGCCUAGCAAGCGCAAGGCCCUGGGUUCGGUCCCCAGCUCCGAAAAAAAAAGAAAGAAAGAAAAAAAAAAAAAACAUAGUCUAUAAUAGGCUGGAACUUUUCUGCAGAAUUGGGCAGGGAAUGGAUCUAGCUCUUUAGAGACCACAGAACGCUUUUUCUUUUUCAGAAAGCUCAAAAAGGCCUUACCUCUAGCAUACCUACAGUGGGACACAAAGACUUCCUGAGCCACUCAAAUAAGAGUUGGCAACUGUCCUUCACUAUUAAGACUAGAAAAGCUAAGCCUUUUGAAAAUCCUAGCAUAGCAGCAAACUAGAACCCAGGAGACAUGCUGCUAGCAUAUUCAGACAUUUUUCUAAGUCACUCCAUCUCAGCCCUAGUCCAUGGCUUGGUUAAAAUACAAAACAAAAUUGGAUUUUUUUUAAUAUACAUAUACACAUACAUGCCUAAGAAGCCAAACCAAACCAACACCCCCAAUAGCCAGCCACACCCCCAGUAGCCAGCCAUCUUACUAUAGAACACAGCAGUAUGAUCUAACAUGUGGAUACUUCAUGUUUUCUCCCCACAUUUGGAAACCCCGAUUCCAAGGUUAACAGGACUACUACAAAAAAGAAUGACCAGGUCUUUAGCAUCAGAAAACUAAAAGCCAGAGUCACCUCAGAACAAGCCCAGCUGAACAGAAGGAGAGGCCGCAUGUGCUUCUCAAAGGAAUUCUUCUCUAGCAGUUAUGGGAGAACUGGAUACAGGGCAGACUCCAGGCAGCGCGGGCCUCCACCUGGAGCCUAUGUUCCCAUUCGUGAAGACCUCUGUCUGUCCAGUUCUAAGGAGACAGCGAAGGCAAGAACAAUGGCCUUGUCCCUACAAGGCUGUCACAGUGUUCCACUUGGAUUCCCUUUGCCUUUUGCUUUGUGUAUACUUUCACAAAAGACCCUCAACAAUGACCCUGCAGGACUUGGAGGACAGACAUCUCCAGAUAAAGAUAUAAUAAACCUGGGAGUACAUGUCUGCUCCAGGUUAAGAGUCGGGAACUUUAUCACGAGCCCAGCCUUUCCAUUUAGUGGCUAGUUAAGUUUCCAGGGUACUAUUUCCUUAAGUUACAGACAAGAGAGGUCAGAGUGAUGAGCACAGAUGAACAUAAGCAACUCUACCUAUAACUGAAACAUUUCAGAAGGUGAAGGCACAGGAUUAAAAGUUCAAAGCCAACCUGUACUCUAUAGGUUUGAGGCCAGUUAGGGUCACAUAUUGAGACCCUGUCUCAAACAAUAAAUAAUCACAUAAACAAAGCACCAGAUAGAAAGAGCCUGUGUCCUGGCACUGCGAGGCCAGCACCCGGUCUCACCUCUGCUAUCUACAGCCGCGGUCUGGGUUCCUCGCCUCCCCUGUAAGCUGGGAGUAGAGUUACAGUAAUGAAUAAGAGGAUGGACAUAAACCAUUCGAGUUCUUUCAUCAGCAAACACUGUGUCAAGCACAGUGUAAGUAAGAGUUACAGCAGCAAUCAAGCUAGUUCUGGUCAAACGACAAGAAGAAAAAUAAGUUAGUAGAUAAAUACUUAGAAAACAUGCUAAAAAAAUGUAAGAUUACCAUAAAUGACUGAAAACAAUCACAGGAAGGCCAGAUGUGAAGAGUGCCCACUGAGGAGAAAUCUCUGUUGAGCCCUAAGGGUGAACGCCUAUCUAUGUGGAGAAAGGAGGAACAAGCAUUUCUGUGGGAACUCACUACGUAAGGGUCACAGCAUGAGGCAGGCACAGGAACACGGAAGACAAGUGCAAUUGCAGAAUAUCCUCUCCUAGGGUUUGGAGAACAACCGUUACAAGCUGCCACCACAGAGGAUUACCACAUCUAUUUUUAAAAUAACAAAGAUGAGCCUCGAGAAAAGUGCUGUGUCUUGUCCAAGGUCAAAGUUACUCAGCAGAGGACCUCAAAUUGGAGCCCUCAGUAUUCUCUUUCCUAACACAGCAAAGCCGACAGCUUUGACUUACUUCACUAAUGACAGCUUUCAGGUUGUGAGGAGUCACCAAAGCACCUUGAGAACACCAGUAAUAACACUGUAUCAGUUUCCAGGCACCUGGUCCAUCAAGCACUGAAAGCCCUAUCUUUGGAAUCUUAAUACCAGAGCAAAAACUGCUCAGACCUAACUCCAAGGUUCCACAGUGGAAACAGCCUCUCUCCUUGCAGACAUGAACAAGGGAAAAAAUGCCCCAGAAAAUUCCACGGCCUGCUCUAAGAGACGGAACACUGAUGCACACGAAUGAUCACCUCAGGUGAACAGCACAGGCAUCCCAGUCAGACUGGUACACCCACCCCAGCAAAAGCCAUUUGGGAAUUCAGAGAGGUAGUAUGAGGUGAAUUGCAAGAUGCCAGAAGCAUUCAAUAGGCUCAAAGUCUUGCAAAAAGGACAGGAUGGGCCUACAUACUAAAAAUAAGUAAAUAUAUACAGGUAUUGCCUAUAGUGUUAACAAGAGCCUGCCACACACUUUAGAGAUGCCAAAAGGAUGACUAUCUCUAACUUUUCUUGUAUUCCCAAUGCUCACUGGUGCUCUCUACCCCCAUGACUGGAUGAGAGUGUGUGUGUGGGGGGGGGGGGCGCUAAGGAACCUAACGAUAGAACAAGGAAGAAGUUUCUAUUAAGAGUCAGACUUAAGAAAUCUUACCAGAGCGCAAGGCCCUGGGUUCGGUCCCCAGCUCCGAGAAAAAAAAAAAAAAAAAAAAAAGAAA